CAGCAGCCACGGGAAUACGUAGGGUGCGAGCGUUAAUCGGAAUUACUGGGCGUAAAGCGUGCGCAGGCGGUCGUGUAAGACAGGUGUGAAAUCCCCGGGCUUAACCUGGGAACUGCGCUUGUGACUGCACAGCUAGAGUAUGGCAGAGGGGGGUGGAAUUCCACGUGUAGCAGUGAAAUGCGUAGAGAUGUGGAGGAACACCGAUGGCGAAGGCAGCCCCCUGGGCCAAUACUGACGCUCAUGCACGAAAGCGUGGGGAGCAAACAGGAUUAGAUACCCGUGUAGUCCCUGUCUCUUAUAC
rnacentral:rRNA from 1 species